GAGGGAGCACUUUUAACAACUUUGACGAAGACACGAUCUUGAGAAGGCUUGAGAUGCUGCCUAUAACUAUCAGAAAUCUUGAUUUGAGAGAUAAGACAUCAUCACCAACUGAUCAGGAUGGACGGGAAAGCACAUCUAUUUUCGCAAUGGGCUUUGCAUUUGGAAACAUCUGUCCAGUCGCUAUUAAGAGCUGGGUGGGGAGGAUGUUGGAAGCGAGGUUUUUGAUGGAGCAAUUUCUCAUGUGAUGCGACAGCAAGAUGAUGAGAAGAGGAUAUGGGGGAGCAAAAUAGUGAGAAAUGCGAGAAUAAGAAGGCUGCGGUGGAGUGGUGUAGGAGGAGCAAAGCUUAGUUUCAGGAGGAGGGAGGAUACCUCAAGAGCGAAGAUCAGAUGAUGGAGGGACUUGCAGCCAAGAGGUUAGGUACAACUUAUAUCCUGAAUUUUUGAAAUAAUGAAGAGCAUGGGGAUUUACCCCCCUCUCUUUUUUUUUGCAUUUGUUUUUUGUAACUUUUGAAUGAGAUAACACAUAUCCAGAUUUCGGGAGAAGAAAUAUCUUGAAAACAAUUUAUUGUUUAUUAUUCUAUGCAUGGGUUGUUAGCUAUUAUGUUGGAAAUUUGAUUGACUUAACAUAGAAUCUGGUUUAUCAAAUAAGGUUCUUUGAUCACUGGUGCGUUCCCCUAGGCUUGCUCAUAUUUGUAAUUGUGCUCAAUAUGAUUAUUGAUUUACUCAUAUACUUGUUUCUUGGAGGUCCAUAUCUGUUUGCAAACGUGUUAAAUUUGGUCUAAAUAAAUCUUUUAUGUGUAUAAAUGAUAAUAAAUGCUCAUAAGGAAGCAUAUUGUUCAUACAAGAAGUGUUAUGGUUCAACUCCAGAUUGUUGACGUUUUUUUUCCCUUUUUCUCUUUUUUUCCUGUUAGUUAGGAUGAAAAAUGUGGAUAAUUAGUGGUGUGAAGUAGCUGCCAUUUCUUCAUGUCAAAUAUUUCAGGUUAUAUGACAGAGAUUUUUAAUGGUUGGGAGUGUUACAUAGUAUUUCAUGAAGAUGACUAUAUAUGGUAUCUCUGAGUCCCAUGAAUACCUGAGAUAAAGCUUAAGAAGCGUGCAAGUUUUCAAUAUUUGGUGCUGCUAAUGACAAGAUGUUAAAAGUUCAUAACAGUUAAUGAUUUUGGUGGCGAAGGUCUUCAGUGGUGUUCUAAUCUAUAAAGGUGAUGGUUUUCCUGUAAACAGCCAAAUAAGACAGCAUUUCUUUCAGUUGAAUAAUGAAAUAAAGCAGCAAAAGGGUAACAAUUGUUGCCUUAUGUGUCUUGGUGUGCAUUAAAGCCAUGCUGGUGGCAACACC
rnacentral:lncRNA from 1 species